GGUAGAGUAACGCCAUGGUAAGGCGUAAGUCAUCGGUUCAAAUCCGAUAAGGGGCUUUUUUGCAUAAAAACCCA
rnacentral:tRNA from 1 species